rnacentral:tRNA from 1 species
UUUAAACCCUAAAUAAGAUUUAAAUCUCAUAUUA